AAAAGCUCGUAGUUGGAUCUCAGUUCCAGACGGGCGGUCCGCCUAACGGUGGUUACUGCCUGGCCUGAACAGCCAGCCGGUUUCCCUAGAUGAUCUUCACCGGUUGUCCUGGGUGACCGGCACGUUUACUUUGAAAAAAUUAGAGUGCUCAAAGCAGGCGUGUAGUCUGAAUAAUGGUGCAUGGAAUAAUGGAAUAGGACUUCGUUUCUAUUUUGUUGGUUUUCGGAACACGAGGUAAUGAUUAAGAGGGACAGACGGGGGCAUUCGUAUUGCGACGCUAGAGGUGAAAUUCUUGGACCGUCGCAAGACGAACUACUGCGAAAGCAUUUGCCAAGAAUGUUUUCAUUAAUCAAGAACGAAAGUUAGAGGUUCGAAGGCGAUCAGAUACCGCCCUAGUUCUAACCAUAAACGAUGCCAACCAGCGAUCCGCCUGAGUUCCUCAAAUGACUCGGCGGGCAGCUUCCGGGAAACCAAAGUGUUUGGGUUCCGGGGGAAGUAUGGUUGCAAAGCUGAAACUUAAAGGAAUUGACGGAAGGGCACCACCAGGAGUGGAGCCUGCGGUUUAAUUUGACUCAACACGGGAAAACCUACCCGGUCCGGACACUGGAAGGAUUGACAGAUUAAGAGCUCUUUCUUGAUUCAGUGGGUGGUGGUGCAUGGCC
rnacentral:rRNA from 1 species